GGGGAUAUAGCUCAAAGGUAGAGCGCUUGCCUAGCAUGCUUGAGGCCCUGGGUUUGAUCCCCAGCACCA
rnacentral:tRNA from 1 species